rnacentral:lncRNA from 1 species
GUCAGAUCACAGGCAGCUCUGGAAGAGGACCCCUGAGAUCACAGUGAUGCUUAUGAUAUGCAAAAGGACCUGCAGGAGGGAGAGACUAGAGGUUAGGGGGCCAAUUAGGAAUUUGUUUGAGGUGAUAAUUGUGUAGACAAGGGCAAUGAGAAGAGAGAGGAAGGGACAAAUUGGAGAGAUAUUUGAAAGGAAACAUCUUCAAGAAUUUGAUAAAUUAGUGAUCUGAGGGAUGAACAAGAGCGGAAUUCCCCAGGUGCAUGGCACAGCCUGAUACAUAAAGGGACACCCAGUGUGCAGCACAACCAGGUUUCCCUCCCUUUGCUGACCGAAGCAGCUGAAGCCACAGCAGCUGGCAGUGGGCAAGAAAUGGAACCGUUUCUCUUUUUCCUGUUUCCUCAUGUUUUCCUACAAGGCACAAACUUACAAAAGACCGUUUCUGAAAGUGGAGCAGACAGGAAAAGCACCCAAUUUUGGCCAGGAAUAAGCCCCAUUUACAGAGGCGGACAGAGGGCAGUCGGCGUCGCCGCCCAGCGAGGAGGGGGCAGCGGGCCGGGCCUCAGGCGUCUGCUCUCCCACCACUUCGAUCCUCAGGCAGCAGAUCCACCCCAUCGUUAGUGCCAUGCUUUCUGAGUGUCAAUUAGCAGCUUUUCUGAGAAGACAGAGGCCUCUAGGGGAAAGCAAAAGAACUAACUACGGCUGAACAAUACUGGAAAGGAGAUCACAAAGUAGCAUGGGUGCAGGAUGAAGCACCAGGACCUGCUUUGAAAAGAGAGAGAGAGAAAAAUCAAAACAGUGGGGGAAGUGAGAUCCUGUGGCAACAGAAGGGAGCAGAGGGGGAUUACCUUCGACUGCCUCCGGAACACCUGCAACCAAAACAAAGAAUCAGAGGAAGGGAAAGCCAGAGGACUAGGCUGGAGAGGAGAAAAUUUGGCUGUUGGGUUAAGAAGAGAAUAGGGGCAACCCAACCAGUCACACCUAAUCUGACAACAUUGGGAGUUUUCCUGGAAAAACAAUGACUGCAUUGAGCUGCUUGCUUCUAACUUCAUUUGACAGCCAGAGUUUGUUUUAAUUGGCAUGUGAAUGAAUAGCAUUAUUUAUUAAUGUGUAAUGGAUACUUUGGAAAGCAUAACCUUUUUUCCUAUCUGUGACCAUUUUAUUGGCGGAACCAUUUGAAUAUAAUAGUUUUAAUAUUUAAACUUGCUGGGAACACUUUUUCAUGGAGAUGUACAAGCUGUUAUGACAAAUGGUUUGGUUUGGAAUAAUGAGCCAGCUUGGAGUGGCAUUUGGCAGGGAGGGGGGUGGGAAGGUGAGGGGGUUUGGAGUGAGAGCCACUUGUCUGUCUGCUUUAACAAGAUUUAUGAGUAGUGUGUAAAAACAUGUUUUAGCUUUUUUUCCCCCUCAACUAUAUAAAUAUAGUUGUCGAUGUGUGACAUAACCCAGGCCACCAUAAUAGACUCCACCCAGCCAGCAGGAAUCUAAUUCAGAGCUAGAAAGCAAGACGCUUGCCUAGAAACGAACAGAAUGAGAUGAUGAGGACAUGGGUGAGUGGCCUUUGGCAUGCAGGAGCUGGCAUUCUUCUUUAGUGCCUUACUAAAAUUAGGGCUGAAAAUUAGUUUUUGUAUUAUUAAGUACAGUGUUUGACAUAAAGUAGGCAUAAAAAAUAGGUAACCUGAAUAGAAUUGAUUUUGUAUGCUGAUGAACACCUGAACAUAAUUCCAUUUUUAGAUCUAAUACACAGCCUUGUUAAUUAUGAAUCAUGGUUGGGGUUAUAGUCCUUUUGUGUCUGUGAGGGGCAGCAAUGGGAGGUCAAUGGAGGGUGGCCAGGGAACUCUUGUUUUUGUUUUUUGUUUUUUUUUUGGUAAAUAUCGACCUGAUUCUAUUUGUUGCAGAGAUUAAAUGGGUACCCUUAAGUUAGUUAGAAAGUAUGUUAAUAAAAAAACAAUUUACAACCA